rnacentral:rRNA from 1 species
GCAGCAGCCGCGGGAAUACGGAGGGAGCUAGCGUUGUUCGGAAUUACUGGGCGUAAAGCGCGCGUAGGCGGUUACUCAAGUCAGAGGUGAAAGCCCGGGGCUCAACCCCGGAACUGCCUUUGAAACUAGGUGACUAGAAUCUUGGAGAGGUCAGUGGAAUUCCGAGUGUAGAGGUGAAAUUCGUAGAUAUUCGGAAGAACACCAGUGGCGAAGGCGACUGACUGGACAAGUAUUGACGCUGAGGUGCGAAAGCGUGGGGAGCAAACAGGAUUAGAUACCCCGGUAGUCCCUGUCUCUUAUAC